UACACUCCUGCGGGAGGCAGCAGUGGGGAAUUUUGGACAAUGGGGGCAACCCUGAUCCAGCAAUGCCGCGUGAGUGAAGAAGGCCUUCGGGUUGUAAAGCUCUUUUGUCAGGGAAGAAACGGUGGUGGCGAAUAACUACUACUAAUGACGGUACCUGAAGAAUAAGCACCGGCUAACUACGUGCCAGCAGCCGCGGUAAUACGUAGGGUGCAAGCGUUAAUCGGAAUUACUGGGCGUAAAGCGUGCGCAGGCGGUUGUGUAAGUCAGAUGUGAAAUCCCCGGGCUCAACCUGGGAAUUGCAUUUGAGACUGCACGGCUAGAGUGUGUCAGAGGGGGGUAGAAUUCCACGUGUAGCAGUGAAAUGCGUAGAUAUGUGGAGGAAUACCGAUGGCGAAGGCAGCCCCCUGGGAUAACACUGACGCUCAUGCACGAAAGCGUGGGGAGCAAACAGGAUUAGAAACCCUAGUAGUCCCAUG
rnacentral:rRNA from 1 species